rnacentral:tRNA from 1 species
GCUGGUUUGGCUCAGUGGAUAGAGCAUCAGCCUGUGGGCUGAAGGGUACCUGGUUCAAUUCCAGUCAAGAGCA